UAUUUCAUGGCAGCUAUUGCAAACAAUUAAGCUAUAAAUCUUCCCCAAAUCUUAAAGAAAAAGGAAAAAAAAUCACAUUUUUGAAUUGAAUUUGAGCAGAACAGGGAGGGGGAAAGGAAAAUGGAAGACGACGCUGAUAUUUACGACGGAAUCAGAGCUCAAUUCCCUCUCACUUUCGGUAAGCAACAAAAGUCCCAAACCUCUCUCGAAGCCAUCCACAACGCCACUCGCCGUUCUACCACAGACGCCGCCAAUAAUAGUAAUAAUAAAACCGAGGAAGGCCUCCCUUCGCUUUCCUCCUCCUCCCAAGCUUGGCUUGAUUCCCUCCGCAAUUCCAAACCUUCCAACCCUAACACUAAUGACUCCUUGAUUGGCCCGCCCCGUCCUCCUGCUGCUGUCCCUGAUGAGGAUGAUGGUGACGUCAUGGUGGGACCUCCUCGGCAGCCUCUAGGUUCAGGUGAUGACGAUGAUGAUGUCAUGAUUGGGCCGCCACGGCCGCCAGUUGGGCCCAGUUCGGACUCUGAUGAGGAGGAGGAGGAGAAUCGGUAUCGGAUACCAAUGAGCAAUGAGAUUAUUCUCAAGGGACAUAAUAAGAUUGUUUCAGCUCUUGCAAUUGAUCACUCUGGAUCUAGGGUUCUUUCUGGAAGUUAUGAUUAUACCGUUCGAAUGUUUGAUUUCCAAGGAAUGAAUUCUCGUUUACAAUCAUUUAGACAGCUUGAACCAUUUGACGGCCACCAAGUUCGUAAUCUAAGCUGGAGUCCCACGGCAGACCGGUUUUUGUGUGUCACUGGCUGUGCUCAAGCUAAGAUAUAUGACCGAGAUGGACUUACUUUAGGUGAGUUUGUGAAAGGGGAUAUGUAUAUUCGUGAUUUAAAGAAUACUAAGGGACAUAUAUCUGGGUUGACUUGUGGAGAGUGGCAUCCGAAAACUAAGGAGACAAUUUUAACAUCGUCUGAAGAUGGGUCGCUUCGUAUAUGGGAUGUUAAUGACUUCAAAAGUCAAAAGCAGGUUAUCAAACCAAAACUUGCACGGCCUGGAAGAAUUCCUGUUACAACAUGUGCAUGGGAUCGUGAAGGGAAAUUCAUUGUAGGUGGAAUUGGAGAUGGUUCUAUACAGAUAUGGAACCUUAAGCCUGGAUGGGGAAGCAGGCCAGAUAUAUACAUUGAAAAAAGUCAUUCUGAUGAUAUCACUGCACUAAAGUUUUCUACUGAUGGAAGAAUUUUGCUAUCCAGAAGCUUUGAUGGUUCACUCAAGGUUUGGGAUUUACGCCAGAUUAAAGUCCCUCUUAAGGUGUUUGAUGAUCUCCCAAAUCACUAUGCUCAAACAAAUAUUGCAUUUAGUCCUGAUGAGCAACUUUUUCUAACUGGGACAUCCAUUGAGAGGGAAAGUACUACUGGAGGUUUGCUGUGCUUUUAUGAUCGUUCAAAACUUGAACUUGUUCAAAGAGUUGGGGUAUCCCCAACUUGUAGUGUUGUGCAGUGUACUUGGCACCCAAGACUAAAUCAGAUAUUUGCAACAGCUGGGGAUAAAAGCCAAGGAGGGACACAUGUGCUGUACGAUCCAACCCUUAGUGAGAGAGGUGCUCUUGUUUGUGUUGCACGUGCACCUAGGAAGAAAUCUGUUGAUGAUUUUGAGGCACCGCUUGUGAUUCAUAACCCUCAUGCGCUACCAUUGUUUAGAGACCAACCAAGCCGUAAGCGUCAACGGGAGAAGAUACUGAAGGAUCCUAUCAAGUCGCAUAAGCCUGAACUUCCCAUAACAGGACCAGGAUAUGGUGGAAGAGUGGGUGCAAGUAAGGGAAGCUUGUUGACUCAGUACCUUCUUAAGCAAGGGGGAAUGAUCAAGGAAACAUGGAUGGAAGAAGAUCCUAGAGAAGCUAUACUUAAAUAUGCUGAUGUUGCAGCUAAAGACCCCAAGUUCAUUGCUCCAGCAUAUGCUCAAACUCAGCCCGAACCUGUUUUUGCAAAGUCAGAUUCUGAGGAUGAAGAGAAAUGAUCUGAUUAUGGAUGGAUCCUUGUGCCUACUGUCUAUAGUAGGCAUUUUGAAAGAUUUGACAACUCUUUGAAACCAGGCGAGGCUGGACAAAACUUGCUAAAUCAUUUUCAAGUUUUCUUGGGUGGGGAGGCAUGCACUGUGCAUUUACCAAAUAAGGUCAGCAAUCGACACAUUCAUAGCCCAGCUGAAGAAUGUGGUCGACUUGGCAGUCCCAACUCCCAAUCAUGCUUCAUGAGAGUAAUGCAAUAUCAAAUUGACGGAAAUGUGGACCACUUUUGUAGCUUAGUUACAGCACUGAUUUGAACAAUACCGGAUGAAAGCCUCUAUUCCAAGCGAUAAACAGUUUGCUGUUAAGCAACAGAUGAUCAUUAAAAGCUAAAAAUGUUGAUAAAGAAUACGAGUUACUCUAUAAACUGUUGGAUUAAACUAUUGACAUUUACAGGAUUUGUGAGUAAGAUCAAUCUCUGAUUUUCCUA